rnacentral:lncRNA from 1 species
CUCAAAUUAUAAAUCAAAAGAAAUCCUCCUGUAAGCUGCUUAUGUUUAUUUGGUCACCACAACAAGAAGAGGAACACUUAUUCCACACGUUCUCAUCCUCUCAAGACACCAAGUAGCUGGGACAGAUUUGCACAAUCUGACUUGUGCCUGCAGAGCAGUGAGUGGAUGAGCCUGGAAGCUAGCAGUGUUCUGGCAUUCUCCCAACAUAACUGGCAAAGGAAGGACACUGAACUCUGGUCAAACCCAAGGCUGUACUACAGGAGCUCUCUAGAGCUCCAGGAACAGGUACUUGCCUCCCUUUG